rnacentral:rRNA from 1 species
UCGAACUGAAAGGGCGUUUGGUGGAUGCCUAGGCAGCAAGAGGCGAUGAAGGACGUGAUACCCUGCGUUAAGCCAUGGGGAGCCGGGAAUAGGCUUUGAUCCAUGGAUGUCCGAAUGGAGGAACCCACCUGACAUUCUGUUAUUGUUACCUAUGGUAUCAAUAAUGGGGUGAACCAGGUACUUUAAUCCUGAAUACAUAGGGGUUUUAGAGCAAACCCGGGGAACUGAAACAUCUAAGUACCCGGAGGAAAGGAAAUCAAUAGAGACUCCGUCAGUAGCGGCGAGCGAACGCGGACCAGCCGAGCCUGGAAGAGUGACUGGAACUGUCUGGAAAGGCAGGCCACAGCGGGUGACAGCCCCGUACAGGAAGCUCCACGGGACAUAUCAAGUAGGGCGGGACACGUGUAAUCCUGUCUGAAGAUCGGGGGACCACCCCCGAAGGCUAAGUACUCCUUGCUGACCGAUAGCGAACCAGUACCGUGAGGGAAAGGUGAAAAGCACCCCGACGAGGGGAGUGAAACAGUACCUGAAACCGGACGCCUACAAGCAGUCGGAGGGGCCUUGAGCCCUGACGGCGUACCUUUUGUAUAAUGGGUCAACGACUUGGUCUAACGAGCAAGCUUAAGCCGAUAGGUGUAGGCGCAGCGAAAGCGAGUCUUAAAAGGGCGCAUGAGUUCGUUGGAUCAGACCCGAAACCAGAUGAUCUAGCCAUGUGCAGGAUGAAGGUUGGGUAACACCAACUGGAGGUCCGAACCAACACCCGUUGAAAAGGGUCUGGAUGACGUGUGGCUAGGGGUGAAAGGCCAAUCAAAUCUGGAGAUAGCUGGUUCUCCGCGAAAGCUAUUUAGGUAGCGCCUCGGACGAAUACCUCGGGGGGUAGAGCACUGCAUGGGUGAUGGGGUCCCACAGACUUACUGAGCCUAAGCAAACUCCGAAUACCCGAGAGUACUAUCCGGGAGACACACGGCGGGUGCUAACGUCCGUCGUGAAGAGGGAAACAACCCUGACCUGCAGCUAAGGCCCCUAAUUCGUGGCUAAGUGGGAAAGCAUGUGGGACGGCCAAAACAACCAGGAGGUUGGCUUAGAAGCAGCCAUCCUUUAAAGAUAGCGUAACAGCUCACUGGUCUAGAUAAGCUGUCCUGCGGCGAAGAUGUAACGGGGCUCAAGCCACGAGCCGAAGCUCAGGAUGCACAGCAAUGUGCGUGGUAGCGGAGCGUUCUGUGAUAUAGCUCAUUGCCUCUUCUCUGCCCUUCGGGGUGGAUCGGAGGCAGGGAGCUUUCUGUGAAGCCGGGCCGUGAGGCAUCCGGUGGAGAGAUCAGAAGCGAGAAUGUUGACAUGAGUAGCGACAAACAGGGUGAGAGACCCUGUCGCCGAAAGUCCAAGGGUUCCUGCUUAAAGCUAAUCUGAGCAGGGUAAGCCGGCCCCUAAGGCGAGGCCGAAAGGCGUAGUCGAUGGGAACCAGGUUAAUAUUCCUGGGCCAGGAGGAUGUGACGGAUCUCAGAGGUAGUUCAGGCUUAUCGGAUUGUCUGGGCUGCUGAGAGGUCCCUGGAAAUAGCCCUCCAUCAGACCGUACCCUAAACCGACACAGGUGGACUGGUAGAGUAUACCAAGGCGCUUGAGAGAACCACGUUAAAGGAACUCGGCAAAAUGCCUCCGUAAGUUCGCGAGAAGGAGGCCCCAUAUGUGCGCAAGCAUGUGUGGGGGGCACAAACUAGGGGGUGGCGACUGUUUACUUAAAACACAGGGCUCUGCGAAGCCGUAAGGCGACGUAUAGGGUCUGACGCCUGCCCGGUGCUGGAAGGUUAAAAGGAGGGGUGCAAGCUCCGAAUUGAAGCCCCAGUAAACGGCGGCCGUAACUAUAACGGUCCUAAGGUAGCGAAAUUCCUUGUCGGGUAAGUUCCGACCUGCACGAAUGGCGUAACGAUGGCCACACUGUCUCCUCCUGAGACUCAGCGAAGUUGA